rnacentral:rRNA from 1 species
UUCGCUCUUCAACGAGGAAUCCCUAGUAAGCACAAGUCAUCAGCUUGUGCUGAUUACGUCCCUGCCCUUUGUACACACCGCCCGUCGCUACUACCGAUUGAAUGGCUUAGUGAGGCCUUCGGAUUGUUAGUAAAAAACUGUAACAGGUUUUCUGCCGACGAAAAGUUGGUCAAACUUGGUCAUUUAGAGGAAGUAAAAGUCGUAACAAGGUUUCCGUAGGUGAACCUGCGGAAGGAUCAUUACAAAUCGUUGGCGAAUCUCGCCACUUUUUUUUUCGUAUUUAAGACAUCCACUCUUAAAAAUUAUUUUUAAUGAUAAAAUUAAAAAAAGAUCACUUUCAACAACGGAUCUCUUGGCUCUCGCAUCGAUGAAGAACGUAGCGAAGUGCGAUAAGUAAUGUGAAUUGCAGAAUUCCGUGAAUCAUCGAAUUUUUGAACGCAAAUUGCACUCUCCGGUUUUCCGGGAGAGUAUGCCUGUUUGAGGGUCAGCCUAAAUAAAAUCGGCUUCGUUGCUGUGUUUUUCGCGGUAAUGCUUGUCGGAAAUUGGGUUAUCUUAAACUUGUUUAAGUAGCUUAAAAUUUUUUUACGAUUCUAAGAACGUUUCUAAGAAUAUAUUUCUUUCUUACGUUCAAGGUAUCGAAUACUAUUAGACGUGGCCGUCACAUCGGAUCUCGUCCAUAAUUUUUUCUUUUACUGACCUCAGACAGGUAAGAGUACCCGCUGAACUUAAGCAUAUCAAUAAGCGGAGGAAAAGAAAAUAACAAUAAUUCCCUUAGUAACGGCGAGUGAAGGGGGGAAAAGCUCAAAUUUUAAAUCGGUCAGGUUCUACCUGUUCGAGUUGUAAUUUGAAGAAGCGUUUUUCGCGUUCGGGUUGACCCCAAAUCCUUUGGGAUAAGGUAUCAUGGAGGGUGAGAAUCCCGUUCGGUUGACCUUGAAACGCUCUACGAUACGCUUUCAAAGAGUCGAGUUGUUUGGGAAUGCAGCUCAAAAUGGGAGGUAAAUUUCUCCUAAGGCUAAAUACCGGCGAGAGACCGAUAGCGAACAAGUACCGUGAGGGAAAGAUGAAAAGAACUUUGAAAAGAGAGUUAAACAGUACGUGAAAUUGUUGAAAGGGAAACGAUUGAAGCCAGUCGUACUGACGGAAAAUCAACUUUUCGGGUGCCUAUCGUGGGUGACGUUGAGCCUCACGGUCUUCGUUGCUUGUGUUGUUGGUACCUUUGGAGUGCACUUUUUCGUAUGGUAGGUCAACAUCGAUUUUAAUCGUCAUAAAAUGAUCGGAGGAAUGUGGCUUCGAUUUCGAUUGGAGUGUUAUAGCCUUUGGUAGAUGUGACGAUUGGGAUCGAGGAUUGCAACGAAUACCCUUUGGGCUAUCCGUCUGGCCUCUGAAAGUCGCUUGGGUGCUGAAAGCUUGCUUAUAGUAUUCAAGUUGGCGGUCAACAGGUUAGAACGUGAUUACAUUCGUUAAGGAUGUUGACGUAAUGGCUUUAAACGACCCGUCUUGAAACACGGACCAAGGAGUCUAACAUAUGUGCGAGUGUU